CUAGCUCAGUGGUAGAGCGCUAGACUUUUAAUCUAGUGGUCGAGGGUUCGAUCCCCUC
rnacentral:tRNA from 1 species